rnacentral:rRNA from 1 species
CCUACGGGUGGCAGCAGUGGGGAAUCUUGGGCAUUGGGCGCAAGCCUGACCCAUCAACGCCGCGUGAAGGAAGAAGGCCUUCGGGUUGUAAACUUCUUCUCUGAGGGACGACGAAAGUGACGGUACCUCAGGAUUAAGCCUCGGCUAACUACGUGCCAGCAGCCUAGGGAAUACGUAGGUGGGAAGCUUUAUCCGGAUUUAUGUGGUGUAAAGGUCGUGUAGGCUGGAAAGUAAGUAAGAUUUGAAAACUCAGGGCUCAACCCGGAGCCGGCCUUUGAAACUGUUUUUCUUGAGUGCUGGAGAGACAAUCGGAAUUCCGGGGGGAGCGGGGAAAUGCGGAGAUAUAAGGAGGAACACCAGUGGCGAAGGCGGAAUGCUGGAGAGUAACUGACGCUGAGGCGCGAAAGCGUGGGGAGCAAACAGGAUUAGAUACCCUAGUAGUC